rnacentral:rRNA from 1 species
UACGGGGGGGGCAAGCGUUGUUCGGAAUUACUGGGCGUAAAGGGCUCGUAGGCGGUCCGCUAAGUCGGGUGUGAAAUCCCUCGGCUUAACCGAGGAAGUGCAUUCGAAACUGGCGGGCUUGAGUACUGAAGAGGGUCGCGGAAUUCCCGGUGUAGAGGUGAAAUUCGUAGAUAUCGGGAGGAACACCAGUGGCGAAGGCGGCGACCUGGGCAGAUACUGACGCUGAGGUGCGAAAGCGUGGGGAGCAAACAGG